rnacentral:rRNA from 1 species
UUCGCCCUUAGAGUUUGAUCCUGGCUCAGGACGAACGCUGGCGGCGCGCCUAACACAUGCAAGUCGAACGAGAGAUGAGGAGCUUGCUCUUCAAAUCGAGUGGCGAACGGGUGAGUAACGCGUGAGGAACCUGCCUCAAAGAGGGGGACAACAGUUGGAAACGACUGCUAAUACCGCAUAAGCCCACGGCUCGGCAUCGAGCAGAGGGAAAAGGAGCAAUCCGCUUUGAGAUGGCCUCGCGUCCGAUUAGCUAGUUGGUGAGGUAACGGCCCACCAAGGCGACGAUCGGUAGCCGGACUGAGAGGUUGAACGGCCACAUUGGGACUGAGACACGGCCCAGACUCCUACGGGAGGCAGCAGUGGGGAAUAUUGCACAAUGGGGGAAACCCUGAUGCAGCGACGCCGCGUGGAGGAAGAAGGUCUUCGGAUUGUAAACUCCUGUUGUUGAGGAAGAUAAUGACGGUACUCAACAAGGAAGUGACGGCUAACUACGUGCCAGCAGCCGCGGUAAAACGUAGGUCACAAGCGUUGUCCGGAAUUACUGGGUGUAAAGGGAGCGCAGGCGGGAGAACAAGUUGGAAGUGAAAUCCAUGGGCUCAACCCAUGAACUGCUUUCAAAACUGUUUUUCUUGAGUAGUGCAGAGGUAGGCGGAAUUCCCGGUGUAGCGGUGGAAUGCGUAGAUAUCGGGAGGAACACCAGUGGCGAAGGCGGCCUACUGGGCACCAACUGACGCUGAGGCUCGAAAGUGUGGGUAGCAAACAGGAUUAGAUACCCUGGUAGUCCACACCGUAAACGAUGAUUACUAGGUGUUGGAGGAUUGACCCCUUCAGUGCCGCAGUUAACACAAUAAGUAAUCCACCUGGGGAGUACGACCGCAAGGUUGAAACUCAAAGGAAUUGACGGGGGCCCGCACAAGCAGUGGAGUAUGUGGUUUAAUUCGACGCAACGCGAAGAACCUUACCAAGUCUUGACAUCCCUUGACGAUGCCGGAAACAGUAUUUCUCUUCGGAGCAAGGAGACAGGUGGUGCAUGGUUGUCGUCAGCUCGUGUCGUGAGAUGUUGGGUUAAGUCCCGCAACGAGCGCAACCCUUAUGGUCAGUUACUACGCAAGAGGACUCUGGCCAGACUGCCGUUGACAAAACGGAGGAAGGUGGGGAUGACGUCAAAUCAUCAUGCCCUUUAUGACUUGGGCUACACACGUACUACAAUGGCGUUAAACAAAGAGAAGCAAGACCGCGAGGUGGAGCAAAACUCAGAAACAACGUCCCAGUUCGGACUGCAGGCUGCAACUCGCCUGCACGAAGUCGGAAUUGCUAGUAAUCGUGGAUCAGCAUGCCACGGUGAAUACGUUCCCGGGCCUUGCACUCACCGCCCGUCA